GAUGAACGCCGGCGGCGUGCUUAACACAUGCAAGUCGAACGAUUGAAGCUGGAGCUUGCUCCGGCCGAUUUAGUGGCGGACGGGUGAGUAACGCGUGGGUAACCUGCCUCAUACAGGGGGAUAGCAGUUGGAAACGACUGGUAAAACCGCAUAAGCGCACGGUGUCGCAUGACACAGUGUGAAAACACUCCGGUGGUAUGAGAUGGACCCGCGUCUGAUUAGCUAGUUGGUGAGGUGACGGCCCACCAAGGCGACGAUCAGUAGCCGGCCUGAGAGGGUGAACGGCCACAUUGGGACUGAGACACGGCCCAAACUCCUACGGGAGGCAGCAGUGGGGAAUAUUGCACAAUGGGGGAAACCCUGAUGCAGCGACGCCGCGUGAGUGAUGAAGUAUUUCGGUAUGUAAAGCUCUAUCAGCAGGGAAGAUAAUGACGGUACCUGACUAAGAAGCACCGGCUAA
rnacentral:rRNA from 1 species